UUAAGCGACUAAGCGUACACGGUGGAUGCCCUGGCAGUCAGAGGCGAUGAAGGACGUGCUAAUCUGCGAUAAGCGUCGGUAAGGUGAUAUGAACCGUUAUAACCGGCGAUUUCCGAAUGGGGAAACCCAGUGUGAUUCGUCACACUAUCAUUAACUGAAUCCAUAGGUUAAUGAGGCGAACCGGGGAACUGAAACAUCUAAGUACCCGAGGAAAAGAAAUCAACCGAGAUUCCCCCAGUAGCGGCGAGCGAACGGGGAGCAGCCCAGAGCCUGAAUCAGUGUGUGUGUUAGUGGAAGCGUCUGGAAAGGCGUGCGAUACAGGGUGACAGCCCCGUACACAAAAAUGCACAUGCUGUGAGCUCGAUGAGUAGGGCGGGACACGUGGUAUCCUGUCUGAAUAUGGGGGACCAUCCUCCAAGGCUAAAUACUCCUGACUGACCGAUAGUGAACCAGUACCGUGAGGGAAAGGCGAAAAGAACCCCGGCGAGGGGAGUGAAAAAGAACCUGAAACCGUGUACGUACAAGCAGUGGGAGCACGCUUAGGCGUGUGACUGCGUACCUUUUGUAUAAUGGGUCAGCGACUUAUAUUCUGUAGCAAGGUUAACCGAAUAGGGGAGCCGAAGGGAAACCGAGUCUUAACUGGGCGUUAAGUUGCAGGGUAUAGACCCGAAACCCGGUGAUCUAGCCAUGGGCAGGUUGAAGGUUGGGUAACACUAACUGGAGGACCGAACCGACUAAUGUUGAAAAAUUAGCGGAUGACUUGUGGCUGGGGGUGAAAGGCCAAUCAAACCGGGAGAUAGCUGGUUCUCCCCGAAAGCUAUUUAGGUAGCGCCUCGUGAAUUCAUCUCCGGGGUAGAGCACUGUUUCGGCAAGGGGGUCAUCCCGACUUACCAACCCGAUGCAAACUGCGAAUACCGGAGAAUGUUAUCACGGGAGACACACGGCGGGUGCUAACGUCCGUCGUGAAGAGGGAAACAACCCAGACCGCCAGCUAAGGUCCCAAAGUCAUGGUUAAGUGGGAAACGAUGUGGGAAGGCCCAGACAGCCAGGAUGUUGGCUUAGAAGCAGCCAUCAUUUAAAGAAAGCGUAAUAGCUCACUGGUCGAGUCGGCCUGCGCGGAAGAUGUAACGGGGCUAAACCAUGCACCGAAGCUGCGGCAGCGACGCUGAUGCGUUGUUGGGUAGGGGAGCGUUCUGUAAGCCUGCGAAGGUGUGCUGUGAGGCAUGCUGGAGGUAUCAGAAGUGCGAAUGCUGACAUAAGUAACGAUAAAGCGGGUGAAAAGCCCGCUCGCCGGAAGACCAAGGGUUCCUGUCCAACGUUAAUCGGGGCAGGGUGAGUCGACCCCUAAGGCGAGGCCGAAAGGCGUAGUCGAUGGGAAACAGGUUAAUAUUCCUGUACUUGGUGUUACUGCGAAGGGGGGACGGAGAAGGCUAUGUUGGCCGGGCGACGGUUGUCCCGGUUUAAGCGUGUAGGCUGGUUUUCCAGGCAAAUCCGGAAAAUCAAGGCUGAGGCGUGAUGACGAGGCACUACGGUGCUGAAGCAACAAAUGCCCUGCUUCCAGGAAAAGCCUCUAAGCAUCAGGUAACAUCAAAUCGUACCCCAAACCGACACAGGUGGUCAGGUAGAGAAUACCAAGGCGCUUGAGAGAACUCGGGUGAAGGAACUAGGCAAAAUGGUGCCGUAACUUCGGGAGAAGGCACGCUGAUAUGUAGGUGAAGCGACUUGCUCGUGGAGCUGAAAUCAGUCGAAGAUACCAGCUGGCUGCAACUGUUUAUUAAAAACACAGCACUGUGCAAACACGAAAGUGGACGUAUACGGUGUGACGCCUGCCCGGUGCCGGAAGGUUAAUUGAUGGGGUCAGCGCAAGCGAAGCUCUUGAUCGAAGCCCCGGUAAACGGCGGCCGUAACUAUAACGGUCCUAAGGUAGCGAAAUUCCUUGUCGGGUAAGUUCCGACCUGCACGAAUGGCGUAAUGAUGGCCAGGCUGUCUCCACCCGAGACUCAGUGAAAUUGAACUCGCUGUGAAGAUGCAGUGUACCCGCGGCAAGACGGAAAGACCCCGUGAACCUUUACUAUAGCUUGACACUGAACAUUGAGCCUUGAUGUGUAGGAUAGGUGGGAGGCUUUGAAGUGUGGACGCCAGUCUGCAUGGAGCCGACCUUGAAAUACCACCCUUUAAUGUUUGAUGUUCUAACGUGGACCCGUGAUCCGGGUUGCGGACAGUGUCUGGUGGGUAGUUUGACUGGGGCGGUCUCCUCCUAAAGAGUAACGGAGGAGCACGAAGGUUGGCUAAUCCUGGUCGGACAUCAGGAGGUUAGUGCAAUGGCAUAAGCCAGCUUGACUGCGAGCGUGACGGCGCGAGCAGGUGCGAAAGCAGGUCAUAGUGAUCCGGUGGUUCUGAAUGGAAGGGCCAUCGCUCAACGGAUAAAAGGUACUCCGGGGAUAACAGGCUGAUACCGCCCAAGAGUUCAUAUCGACGGCGGUGUUUGGCACCUCGAUGUCGGCUCAUCACAUCCUGGGGCUGAAGUAGGUCCCAAGGGUAUGGCUGUUCGCCAUUUAAAGUGGUACGCGAGCUGGGUUUAGAACGUCGUGAGACAGUUCGGUCCCUAUCUGCCGUGGGCGCUGGAGAACUGAGGGGGCUGCUCCUAGUACGAGAGGACCGGAGUGGACGCAUCACUGGUGUUCGGGUUGUCAUGCCAAUGGCACUGCCCGGUAGCUAAAUGCGGAAGAGAUAAGUGCUGAAAGCAUCUAAGCACGAAACUUGCCCCGAGAUGAGUUCUCCCUGACUCCUUGAGAGUCCUGAAGGAACGUUGAAGACGACGACGUUGAUAGGCCGGGUGUGUAAGCGCAGCGAUGCGUUGAGCUAACCGGUACUAAUGAACCGUGAGGCUUAACCUU
rnacentral:rRNA from 1 species